rnacentral:rRNA from 1 species
UACGUAGGGGGCAAGCGUUGUCCGGAUUAUUGGGCGUAAAGAGCGUGUAGGCGGCCAUGUAGGUCCGUUGUGAAAACUCGAGGCUCAACCUCGAGACGCCGAUGGAAACCAUGUGGCUAGAGUCCGGAAGAGGCGAGUGGAAUUCCUGGUGUAGCGGUGGAAUGCGCAGAUAUCAGGAGGAACACCAAUAGCGAAGGCAGCUCGCUGGGACGUUACUGACACUGAGGCGCGAAAGCGUGGGGAGCAAACAGG